GUGGGGUGGUGGCCUACCAAGGCGACGACGGGUAGCCGGCCUGAGAGGGUGAUCGGCCACAUUGGGACUGAGAUACGGCCCAGACUCCUACGGGAGGCAGCAGUGGGGAAUAUUGCACAAUGGGCGAAAGCCUGAUCCAGCGACGCCGCGUGCGGGAGGAAGCCCUUCGGGGUGUAAACCGCUGUCAGGGGGGAAGAACCGGCUCGGGCGAAUAGUUCGGGCAACUGACGGUACCCCCAGAGGAAGCGCCGGCUAACCCCGUGCCAGCAGCCGCGGUAAUACGGAGGGCGCAAGCGUUGUUCGGAAUUACUGGGCGUAAAGGGGGCGCAGGUGGCUUGGUAAGUCCUAUGUGAAAGCCCGCGGCUCAACCGCGGAAUUGCAUAGGAUACUGCCGAGCUCGAGACGGGUAGAGGCGAGUAGAAUUCCCGGUGUAGCGGUGGAAUGCGUAGAUAUCGGGAAGAAUACCAGUGGCGAAGGCGGCUCGCUGGGCCCGUUCCGACGCUCAGGCCCGAAAGCGUGGGGAGCAAACAGGAUUAGAUACCCUGGUAGUCCACGCCGUAAACGAUGGGCACUAGGUGCCGGGGAGUGUGACCUUUUCGGUGCCGUAGCUAACGCGUUAAGUG
rnacentral:rRNA from 1 species